rnacentral:rRNA from 1 species
UACGUAGGGUGCAAGCGUUGUCCGGAAUUAUUGGGCGUAAAGAGCUCGUAGGCGGUUUGUCGCGUCUGCUGUGAAAACUCGGGGCUCAACCUCGGGUCUGCAGUCGAUACGGGCGGACUGGAGUUCGGCAGGGGAGACUGGAAUUCCUGGUGUAGCGGUGAAAUGCGCAGAUAUCAGGAGGAACACCGGUGGCGAAGGCGGGUCUCUGGGCCGAUACUGACGCUGAGGAGCGAAAGCGUGGGGAGCGAACAGG